UACCCGCUGAACUUAAGCAUAUCAAUAAGCGGAGGAAAAGAAACCAACAGGGAUUGCCCUAGUAACGGCGAGUGAAGCGGCAACAGCUCAAAUUUGAAAUCUGGCCUCGGCCCGAGUUGUAAUUUGCAGAGGAUGUUUCUGGCGCGGUGCCUUCCGAGUUCCCUGGAACGGGACGCCACAGAGGGUGAGAGCCCCGUAUGGUUGGACACCAAGCCUGUGUGAAACUCCUUCGACGAGUCGAGUAGUUUGGGAAUGCUGCUCUAAAUGGGAGGUAAAUCUCUUCUAAAGCUAAAUACCGGCCAGAGACCGAUAGCGCACAAGUAGAGUGAUCGAAAGAUGAAAAGCACCUUGAAAAGGGGGUUAAACAGUACGUGAAAUUGUUGAAAGGGAAGCGCUCAUGACCAGACUUGUGCCGGGCGGUUCAUCCGGGGUUCUCCCCGGUGCACUCCGCCCGGUUCAGGCCAGCAUCGGUUCUCGUUGGGGGAUAAGAACGGUAGGAACGUGGCCCUCCCUCGGGAGGGUGUUAUAGCCUGCCGUACGAUACCUUGAUGGGGACCGAGGUUCGCGCUCCGCAAGGAUGCUGGCGUAAUGGUCAUCAGCGACCCGUCUUGAAACACGGACCAAGGAGUCGUCCAUUAGAGCGAGCGUUUGGGUGUAAAACCCGCACGCGUAAUGAAAGUGAAAUUAGGUGAGAGCUUCGGCGCAUCAUCGACCGAUCCUGAUGUUCUCGGAUGGAUUUGAGUAAGAGUUUUAACGGACGGACCCGAAAGACAGUGAACUAUGCUUGUAUAGGGUGAAGCCAGAGGAAACUCUGGUGGAGGCUCGCAGCGGUUCUGACGUGCAAAUCGAUCGUCAAAUAUGAGCAUGGGGGCGAAAGACUAAUCGAACUGUCUAGUAGCUGGUUACCGCCGA
rnacentral:rRNA from 1 species